rnacentral:rRNA from 1 species
GGCGAACGGGUGAGGAACACGUGAGAAAUCUGCCUUCAACACUGGGAUAACUCCGGGAAACCGGGGCUAAUACCGGAUAUGAAACUCAACGGCAUCGUUGGGUUUGGAAAGUUUUUCGGUUGAAGAUGAUCUCGCGGCCUAUCAGCUUGUUGGUGAGGUAAUGGCUCACCAAGGCGACGACGGGUAGCCGGCCUGAGAGGGCGACCGGCCACACUGGGACUGAGACACGGCCCAGACUCCUACGGGAGGCAGCAGUGGGGAAUAUUGGGCAAUGGAGGAAACUCUGACCCAGCGACGCCGCGUGCGGGAUGAAGGCCUUCGGGUUGUAAACCGCUUUCAGCAGGGAAGAAGCGAAAGUGACGGUACCUGCAGAAGAAGCACCGGCUAACUAUGUGCCAGCAGCCGCGGUAAUACAUAGGGUGCAAGCGUUGUCCGGAAUUAUUGGGCGUAAAGAGCUCGUAGGUGGUUCGUCACGUCGGAUGUGAAAAUCUGGGGCUCAACCCCAGACCUGCAUUCGAUACGGGCGAACUAGAGUUUGGUAGGGGAGACUGGAAUUCCUGGUGUAGCGGUGGAAUGCGCAGAUAUCAGGAGGAACACCAAUGGCGAAGGCAGGUCUCUGGG